rnacentral:rRNA from 1 species
ACGCAGCAGACGCGAAAACUUUACAAUGUGCGAAAGCAACGAUAAGGGAACUCUGAGUGCCUCCUAAGGAGGCUGUUCAGGUGUACUAAAAAGCACCUAGAAGGAAGGGCUGGGUAAGACCGGUGCCAGACCGCCGCGGUAACACCGGCAGCCCAAGUGGUAGCCACGUUUAUUGGGUCUAAAGCGUCCGUAGCCGGCUGGGUAAGUUCCUUGGGAAAUUUGGCUGCUUAACAGUCAAGCUUUCAGGGAAUACUGCCCGGCUUGGGACCGGGAGAGGUCAGAGGUACUCCAGGGGGUAGGGGUGAAAUCCAUUAAUCCUUGGGGGACCACCGGUAGCGAAGGCGUCUGACCAGACCGGGUCCGACGGUGAGGGACGAAGGCUAGGGGCGCGAACCGGAUUAGAUACCCCCGUAGU